rnacentral:misc_RNA from 1 species
GAUGAAGAACGUAGCGAAAUGCGAUAAGUAAUGUGAAUUGCAGAAUUCAGUGAAUCGUCGAAUCUUUGAACGCACAUUGCGCCCGCCAGUAUUCUGGCGGGCAUGCCUGUCCGAGCGUCAUUUCAACCCUCAAGCCCCCGGGCUUGGUGUUGGAGAUCGGCGAGCCCCCCGGGGCGCGCCGUCUCCCAAAUAUAGUGGCGGUCCCGCUGUAGCUUCCUCUGCGUAGUAGCACACCUCGCACUGGGAAACAGCGUGGCCACGCCGUAAAACCCCCCACUUCUGAAAGGUUGACCUCGGAUCAGGUAGGAAUACCCGCUGAACUUAAGCAUAUCAAUAAGGGAGGA